rnacentral:tRNA from 1 species
CAAGGUUGUAGUUUAAUUAAAAUAUAAGCAUUGGAAGCUUAAGAUUAGGUAGCAACCUACACCUUGAC